GAUGAACGCUAGCUACAGGCUUAACACAUGCAAGUCGAGGGGCAGCAUUUUAGUUUGCUUGCAAACUGAAGAUGGCGACCGGCGCACGGGUGAGUAACACGUAUCCAACCUGCCGAUAACUCCGGGAUAGCUUUUCGAAAGAAAGAUUAAUACCGGAUAGUAUACGAAUAUCGCAUGAUAUUUUUAUUAAAGAAUUUCGGUUAUCGAUGGGGAUGCGUUCCAUUAGUUUGUUGGCGGGGUAACGGCCCACCAAGACUACGAUGGAUAGGGGUUCUGAGAGGAAGGUCCCCCACAUUGGAACUGAGACACGGUCCAAACUCCUACGGGAGGCAGCAGUGAGGAAUAUUGGUCAAUGGGCGCGAGCCUGAACCAGCCAAGUAGCGUGAAGGAUGAAGGCUCUAUGGGUCGUAAACUUCUUUUAUAUGGGAAUAAAGUUUUCCACGUGUGGAAUUUUGUAUGUACCAUAUGAAUAAGGAUCGGCUAACUCCGUGCCAGCAGCCGCGGUAAUACGGAGGAUCCGAGCGUUAUCCGGAUUUAUUGGGUUUAAAGGGAGCGUAGGUGGAUUGUUAAGUCAGUUGUGAAAGUUUGCGGCUCAACCGUAAAAUUGCAGUUGAAACUGGCAGUCUUGAGUACAGUAGAGGUGGGCGGAAUUCGUGGUGUAGCGGUGAAAUGCUUAGAUAUCACGAAGAACUCCGAUUGCGAAGGCAGCUCACUAGACUGUCACUGACACUGAUGCUCGAAAGUGUGGGUAUCAAACAGGAUUAGAUACCCUGGUAGUCCACACAGUAAACGAUGAAUACUCGCUGUUUGCGAUAUACAGUAAGCGGCCAAGCGAAAGCAUUAAGUAUUCCACCUGGGGAGUACGCCGGCAACGGUGAAACUCAAAGGAAUUGACGGGGGCCCGCACAAGCGGAGGAACAUGUGGUUUAAUUCGAUGAUACGCGAGGAACCUUACCCGGGCUUAAAUUGCAACAGAAUAUAUUGGAAACAGUAUAGCCGUAAGGCUGUUGUGAAGGUGCUGCAUGGUUGUCGUCAGCUCGUGCCGUGAGGUGUCGGCUUAAGUGCCAUAACGAGCGCAACCCUUAUCUUUAGUUACUAACAGGUUAUGCUGAGGACUCUAGAGAGACUGCCGUCGUAAGAUGUGAGGAAGGUGGGGAUGACGUCAAAUCAGCACGGCCCUUACGUCCGGGGCUACACACGUGUUACAAUGGGGGGUACAGAAGGCGGCUACCUGGUGACAGGAUGCUAAUCCCAAAAACCUCUCUCAGUUCGGAUCGAAGUCUGCAACCCGACUUCGUGAAGCUGGAUUCGCUAGUAAUCGCGCAUCAGCCAUGGCGCGGUGAAUACGUUCCCGGGCCU
rnacentral:rRNA from 1 species